UUUCCGUAGGUGAACCUGCGGAAGGAUCAUUAGUGAAUUGAAUAAGUUAGUGGACCUCUUCGGAGUCCCUAGCAUCAAAUCUUACCCAUAACACAUGUGAACUGUAAGGCUGUCUGGCAAACGAAAGUGAUUAGGGCGCCUGCCCAUUUUAUACACACAUUAAAGUAACAAACGAAGUCUUAUAAUAAUCUAAUAAAACUUUCAACAACGGAUCUCUUGGCUCUC
rnacentral:misc_RNA from 1 species